rnacentral:rRNA from 1 species
UACGUAGGGUGCAACCGUUGCUCGGAAUCAUUGGGCGUAAAGCGCACGUAGGCGGCCUGAUAAGUCGGGUGUGAAAGCCCUGGGCUCAACCCAGGAAGUGCACUCGAAACUGUCAGGCUUGAAUAUGGAAGAGGGUCGCGGAAUUCCCGGUGUAGAGGUGAAAUUCGUAGAUAUCGGGAGGAACACCAGUGGCGAAGGCGGCGACCUGGGCCAAUAUUGACGCUGAGGUGCGAAAGCGUGGGGAGCAAACAGG